GGGCGGUUAGCUCAGCUGGUAGAGCGCCUGCCUUACAAGCAGGAGGUCGCCCGUUCGAGCCGGGCACCGCCCA
rnacentral:tRNA from 1 species